UAAGGCUUGGGGUGGGAAAGGAAUACC
rnacentral:piRNA from 1 species